rnacentral:miRNA from 1 species
CUGAGCCCCUGUGCCGCCCCCAG